rnacentral:tRNA from 1 species
AGAGGUUAUAGCUCAAUUGGUAGAGUGCAUGCUUAACAUGCAUGAGGUCCUGGGUUCAAUCCCCAGUACCUCCA